rnacentral:rRNA from 1 species
UCCGCAGGCGGAUUUAUAAGUCAGUGGUGAAAGCCUACAGCUCAACUGUAGAACUGCCAUUGAUACUGUAAGUCUUGAAUUCGGUCGAAGUGGGCGGAAUGUGACAUGUAGCGGUGAAAUGCUUAGAUAUGUCACAGAACACCGAUAGCGAAGGCAGCUCACUAGGCCUGGAUUGACGCUCAGGGACGAAAGCGUGGGGAGCAAACAGGAUUAGAUACCCGUGUA